GACGCUUUUGGAGGGAAGGGAAAUGCUGCUGGUGUCCUGCAGGCAUGGAGAAGCGCACAGAAGACGAAGGAGUGUAAGCUGUAUUGUUGGUGAAUAUUUAAUCAUCGCUUCAGGUGUUUUUUUUUCUAGGAAUAAGGAAGAAAAUGUUUCUUGUGUGGAGAAUUGUUAAGAAGUGUUAAGCGUUACUGGAAAGCAAGUGGUGGUUGUAUCAUAGAGCUAAAGCUUGCUGGCUUUCCCAUGCAAAAAGCCUUUGUCUCCUUGCAGGAACGCCCCCAUCACCCAUGGUGUGCUUCUGUGCCAGAUUAAACUGGUGUAACUCGUUUUAUUGUUUUAUUUCCUUUGGAUUUAGGGAGUGAGAAUCUGCGAUUGAUCUCUGUCUCCCUCGGUGCUGAGGAAGGGGUUGGAGCUGGGGUGUGGUUUUGCUGGAGGUGAGCCUGGCUGCCUCCUUGCCAGCACUGGGGUUUUAACCUGCAGUCUCUGAAUUGGACAUGCAUAACAAAAAUGUACUAACAAGCUCCUCUCUUUUUAAUUGCCUUGAUAUGACAUGCACUGGAAACAGUGAGGCUUCCCCACUUUUCCCUGUCCUAUCCCUGACGGAAAAACAUCUCCGACUGCUUCAACUUGGUUUUCCCUAAACGAAAGUUUACAAGCAACUGGGACACUUCCAUCAUUGCUCUAGCCUUUUAUUCAAGAUAAUAUUAAGAGACAUCAUAACAUCACAGUGUCAGAGCAAACAAAGCACUGUGUAAUUUUAUCCCGUAUUAAUGCAGAGUGUCGCAGAUGGUGCUAUCAUUAGACAGCAAUCUAUAAAAAUGGCCCAUGAGACAAAGCCCUGGCACAAUUAUUUAUUCUUCAAUUAUUUAUUCAGCCCUUUAGGAUGUGUAAUACUGACAGACAGCACAGAAUGUACUGCCUACCAAUUUGCAGAUCUUGACUGACUCAGUCCUCUGUCAUUGAUGGAAUAAAAUAUGUAUGGGGGGAAGGGUGAUGUAGCAUGGCUUUGCUUUUUUUUUUUUUUUUUGUAGCUUGUUUUCCUGUUUACUACACGGCUUUAAGGCUGCCUCCUUUAAGCAACCCCCUCCACCCUGAUGUUCAUCUUUUUAUUUCAGUUAAUUGCAAGGAAGACUUAGUGCUCUCGACCUGAGGUUUUUAAUCCCUUGUGUGUUUGGAGCCAGGGGUUGGUUCCCCUGCAGGGCUAACAUCAGCUGGCCAGCCUUGCGGGGCAGACUAAUUGGGCGGGCUCCUGCUCUCCUGCCAGCCCCAUCAAUCUGGGGAGCUCUGCUCUCCUCAACAAUUGACAGUGCUGUGGAUUCUGCAUGGACCCCAUGGGAAGCAGGAUGGGACUUGCUGGUUUCCAGUCAGAUUAAUGGGCAAAGAUGCAGGCUCGGUUAAGACUCUCCAGCCCAAGACAUGGCAUGCUCCUGACAGCUAUUACUGUUGCAGUGGCAUUGUCGGAGAGGAAUUUAUCACCUGCCAAAUUUUUACUGUUGCUUUAACGUCAAAAUGAUGUCACUGCCAUCAGAAGGAGCGCAUCUGCCUCUGACUGUACCUCUGCCUCCCCUGUGGUAAGACAAAUGUUUCUAUGGUUGCCCAGUGAACCAGAACUGGGAACUGGUCUGGUUUAAAACUAAGGACUGGUUUAGGUUUAGGCUUUGCAUGACUAGGAAACUGCUUAAGUGCCGUUGUCCAAAAUGGCUCACAUUCAUCUGCAAAAAUCCUCCUAAGUAGCUAUAUUAUAUUAACAGUAACUUUAAUUCUGUAGGUUUUUAGAGUCCCAAUAAAACGCAAAUUUAUCUGUCACCGGUGUCUCCUUUCUUUUUCCAGUGUGUGUUGGUUAGGUUCAUCCCUUUGGCAUCCAUAUUGUCAAAGCUCCUGCCCCUGUACUGAAGCACACCUGAAACUGCUGCCCCAAAGCUGGCAUGACCAAGAGUUCACCUGCUUCAGCACUUCCGAGACAGCAGGUCCUGGCGCAAGCUGUGUGUGCGUGGUGCCCGUGUGUGUGUGUGAUUGGUGUGCCAGGCCCUGGGGACACACCGGAGCUGUAAUUCCCAGUGCUGGGCAUACGCUCUCUGCAGUGGGAGACGCAGCGAAGCCAGGGAGGGGAAGAGCCCUAGUGCUGCCUGUCACGCCUGCGCCCAGGUGAGCCAUCCUGCAGAAAAGUGGCCUCACCUACUAGGGCUGUUUCACUAUUUAACUCGAUUUAAACCACCCGUCAUUGUGUAUUCGCUAGUCACACAAGCAGAAAUGGGUGAAAACCUCACUCUUUAUUGCUCUGGGUUUUUUUUUUUCCCCUGCCCUGUGGUAUUUUUAGGUCAGAGAAGUCCCUCAAGGGGCUGGGACAGCAAGGGAGAGAGGGAAGGGCAGCAGCCAAAGCUGCCAUCCGCAUGGAGAUUUUCCUCUUUCUGGGAAGUCACUUCCCAGUAAACUGCCUCAAAGCUUCCUAUCCUCACUCUCCUAUUUAAAGAGCAACUAAAUUCAGUGAGGAGGCUGAAAGAGCUAAGACUCAGUUCCCCUUGUUCCGUUUUUGGCAUCUCUCCCCCCCCCGAGGAGAGCUAUACCGUGGCUAAUCCCCAGGGUUGUCCUGCCACCCACCUUCCUGGGUUCAGGGUGGGAAUGGGGGGGCGACGACGACCAAAGCUGAAUCCUUGGGAUGUGAGGCUGCUCUGAAAUACCAAUUGCUACGGUUAGCCAGGUCUGUUUGUCAGCACUAUUCAGUGCUGCUUAAUCCCCCUUUGUGUCCACUUUGGAACAACAGCUGGGAUUUUGCAAGUUGGUUCAUGCCGUGGGAGAGCGAAGGUGAAACCGCACUUGGGAAGGCACAGGGUGUGGGGGUGUGUGCACACAUGUGCUUCAUUUUCAUGAGGUGUUCAUAAAAUGUUAAGAAGAAUAUAUCCGAGUGAUGUUAGCAGCUUGACUUAAGCAAAGAAAUUUGUGGCGAAGCCUGAAAGAUCUCUGCUGAGACGCAGGCUUUAACCCAGGCAGUUGUGCCAAAAGAUCCAGAAAAGGCUUAAUGGCAGGAGAUAAUGCUGCUGUGUCAGCACACAUUUUCACCCCUAGCUGUGAAUUUCCUGGCUUUUGUGUACUUGAGUUAAACCCUGAUGUUAGUAGCCCAUCACCCCCUCCAAAUCAGUACCCUCAAACAAAGAGAGAAUCAAAUCCCAGCAGUUUGCUGCUUAGUGGUAGAGACUGGUGGGUAAUAAUGUGUUUGGAAGCAUGAACCUGAUGAACACGGAGAGUGUUGUUACAGCCUGCAAGCGACCUCUUAAAUUUGUAGUAGUUUGGGUCAGUAUGGACAUUUCUGUCCAGACGUUCCCAGAAAAAUACAUUUAGUUUGUGGAUCAAUAGCUAGAGCUAAUGAGUCCUUGGGACGCGCAGGUGCAAUCACCGGUAAUCUUUGUGCUGUUGCUAAUAGCAAAACAUAUGUGCAUGCUAAUAAAAAAAUCUUUCUUAAA